UAUUUAUGCUUCAUCCUGCUAUUUGUAAUCUUGCAAUUAAAAUAAGAGCAUGUUAUGGAGAGAGAUUUCAUAUGAGCUUUUGUUCCAUAUACUUGUAUUCAACUGUACCUGAUUUUUUGUUGUUGGGUGCUUCAAUAUUCUGUACAGCUGUGCUAAAUAGACUGGCAGAAGAAAAACCACGUAAUUUUGAUUUUAAGUGCAAAGGCUUCAUCUCUUAUGUGUAUAUCAGAUGAUGCAAGGCACGUCAGUGUUAUUUCUAGAUAAUAUUUAUGGUUUUUUAUGUAGGUUUGUGCAGAAACAUCAAUUAUUUGUUGCCGUUGGUGUAAAUAAACCAAGAAAAUACAGUAGAUCAGUGGCUAAUAAAAAUGCCCGAGCAUUUAUACUGUCGAUGUUGAUAUCUCUCCCUGAAGUUACAAAAGGACAAAAUGAGUCAUAUUAGAAUUUGGGGUUAUUGUUUUAGUACCUAAGGUGGAUUCUUAUGCUCUACAGUGGUGCAGUCAAAUGAUUCUGGUUUAGAUGAGUAUGAAACAACGGAGAUGAUGCUGAUCCCUAGAGCCCUAUUAUGCUUUUGAAUUUCCUUUCGCGCUUACUUUGGAUGUCACAAAUCAGUUGGGUGUAUUGGUUUUCUCUUCUAUUUUGUUAGUCCUCCUCACCUAUUUGCACCGGUUGUCUUGAUGGAAGAGUAGUACAUCCUGCAGCUUGCGCCACCACUGCGUGUCGUGCCCUCGCCAGGAGGAGCAGCUGGUAGCCCGCGUCCAUCCCAGCUUGCACGGGGCUGCCUAUAUCGCCUGCCCCUCUUCUUGG